rnacentral:rRNA from 1 species
CCGAAACCCGGUGAUCUAGCCAUGGGCAGGUUGAAGGUUGGGUAACACUAACUGGAGGACCGAACCGACUAAUGUUGAAAAAUUAGCGGAUGACUUGUGGCUGGGGGUGAAAGGCCAAUCAAACCGGGAGAUAGCUGGUUCUCCCCGAAAGCUAUUUAGGUAGCGCCUCGUGAAUUCAUCUCCGGGGGUAGAGCACUGUUUCGGCAAGGGGGUCAUCCCGACUUACCAACCCGAUGCAAACUGCGAAUACCGGAGAAUGUUAUCACGGGAGACACACGGCGGGUGCUAACGUCCGUCGUGAAGAGGGAAACAACCCAGACCGCCAGCUAAGGUCCCAAAGUCAUGGUUAAGUGGGAAACGAUGUGGGAAGGCCCAGACAGCCAGGAUGUUGGCUUAGAAGCAGCCAUCAUUUAAAGAAAGCGUAAUAGCUCACUGGUCGAGUCGGCCUGCGCGGAAGAUGUAACGGGGCUAAACCAUGCACCGAAGCUGCGGCAGCGACACUGUGUGUUGUUGGGUAGGGGAGCGU